rnacentral:rRNA from 1 species
GUGGGGAAUCUUAGACAAUGGGCGCAAGCCUGAUCUAGUCAUGCCGCGUGAGCGAUGAAGGCCUUAGGGUUGUAAAGCUCUUUCAGGGGGGAAGAUAAUGACGGUACCCCCAGAAGAAGCCCCGGCUAACUCCGUGCCAGCAGCCGCGGUAAUACGGAGGGGGCUAGCGUUGUUCGGAAUUACUGGGCGGAAAGCGCACGUAGGCGGACCAGAAAGUCAGGGGUGAAAUCCCGGGGCUCAACCCCGGAACUGCCUUUGAAACUCCUGGUCUUGAGGUCGAGAGAGGUGAGUGGAAUUCCGAGUGUAGAGGUGAGAUUCGUAGAUAUUCGGAGGAACACCAGUGGCGAAGGCGACUCACUGGCUCGAUACUGACGCUGAGGUGCGAAAGCGUGGGGAGCAAACAGGAUUAGAAACCCGUGUAGUCC